GACGAACGCUGGCGGCGUGCCUAAUACAUGCAAGUCGAACGCAGUGGGGACGGGUGAGUAACACGUGGGCAACCUCCCAUCAGAGGGGAUAACACUUGGAAACAGGUGCUAAACUGAUACCGGUGGCUGGACCCGCGGGGGAUUGGCUAGUGGGUGAGGUAACGGCUCACCAAGGCCACGAGGCAUAGACGACCUGGGAGGGGUGUCGGCCACACUGGAAGUGGGACACGGCCCAGACUCCUACGGGAGGAAGCAGUAGGGAAUCUUGGGCAAUGGACGAAAGUCUGACCGAGCAACGCCGCGUGAGUGAAGAAGGUUUUCGGAUCGGAAAACUCUGUUGUUAGAGAGGCGGUAUCUAACCAGAAAGCCACGGCUAACUACGUGCCAGCAGCCGCGGUAAUAC
rnacentral:rRNA from 1 species